rnacentral:rRNA from 1 species
UACGUAGGUGGCAAGCGUUGUCCGGAUUUACUGGGCGUAAAGAGCGCGCAGGCGGUCGGUCAAGUCGGGUGUGAAAGCUCCCGGCUCAACUGGGGAGGGUCACGCGAUACUGAUCGACUCGAAGGCAGGAGAGGGUAGUGGAAUUCCCGGUGUAGUGGUGAAAUGCGUAGAGAUCGGGAGGAACAUCUGUGGCGAAGGCGACUGCCUGGACCAGCACUGACACUGAGGCACGAAAGCGUGGGGAGCAAACAGG